CCUAAGGUAGCGAAAUUCCUUGUCGGGUAAGUUCCGACCUGCACGAAUGGCGUAACGACUUCCCUGCUGUCUCAACCACAGACCCGGCGAAAUUGCAGUACGAGUAAAGAUGCUCGUUACGCGCGGCAGGACGAAAAGACCCCGGGACCUUCACUAUAGCUUGGUAUUGGUGUUCGGUUCGGUUUGUGUAGGAUAGGUGGGAGACUGUGAUGCCUCAACGCCAGUUGGGGUGGAGUCGUUGUUGAAAUACCACUCUGAUCGUAUUGGACAUCUCAACCUCGGCCCGUGAUCCGGGUUAGGGACAGUGCCUGGUGGGUAGUUUAACUGGGGCGGUUGCCUCCCAAAGAGUAACGGAGGCGCCCAAAGGUUCCCUCAGCCUGGUUGGCAAUCAGGUGUUGAGUGUAAGUGCACAAGGGAGCUUGACUGUGAGACUGACAGGUCGAGCAGGUAGGAAACUAGGGACUAGUGAUCCGGCACCGGCUUGUGGAAGCGGUGUCGCUCAACGGAUAAAAGGUACCCCGGGGAUAACAGGCUGAUCUUCCCCAAGAGUCCAUAUCGACGGGAUGGUUUGGCACCUCGAUGUCGGCUCGUCGCAUCCUGGGGCUGGAGUAGGUCCCAAGGGUUGGGCUGUUCGCCCAUUAAAGCGGCACGCGAGCUGGGUUUAGAACGUCGUGAGACAGUUCGGUCUCUAUCCGCCGCGCGCGUAGAAACUUGAGGAAGGCUGUCCCUAGUACGAGAGGACCGGGAUGGACGUACCUCUGGUGUGCCAGUUGUCCCGCCUGGGGCAUGGCUGGUUGGCUACGUACGGAAGGGAUAACCGCUGAAAGCAUCUAAGCGGGAAGCCUGUUCCAAGAUUAGGUUUCUUUUGAGGUCCCCUAUAGAUGAUGGGGUUGAUAGGCCGGAUCUGGAAGCAUCGUAAGGUGUGGAGGUGACCGGUACUAAUAGACCAAACAUUCAACACA
rnacentral:rRNA from 1 species